rnacentral:rRNA from 1 species
AACGAACGCUGGCGGCAGGCCUAACACAUGCAAGUCGAACGCCCUAGCAAUAGGGAGUGGCAGACGGGUGAGUAACGCGUGGGAAUAUCCCCCUCAGUACGGAAUAGCCCAGGGAAACUUGGAGUAAUACCGUAUACGUCCGUGAGGAGAAAGAUUUAUCGCUGAGGGAUUAGCCCGCGUAGGAUUAGCUAGUUGGUGAGGUAAUGGCUCACCAAGGCGACGAUCCUUAGCUGGUCUGAGAGGACGAUCAGCCACACUGGGACUGAGACACGGCCCAGACUCCUACGGGAGGCAGCAGUGGGGAAUAUUGGACAAUGGGCGCAAGCCUGAUCCAGCCAUGCCGCGUGAGUGACGAAGGCCUUAGGGUUGUAAAGCUCUUUUGGCGGGGACGAUAAUGACGGUACCCGCAGAAUAAGCCCCGGCUAACUUCGUGCCAGCCGCCGCAGUAA